rnacentral:rRNA from 1 species
UAGGGAAUCUUCCGCAAUGGGCGAAAGCCUGACGGAGCAACGCCGCGUGAGUGAUGAAGGUCUUCGGAUCGUAAAACUCUGUUAUUAGGGAAGAACAAAUGUGUAAGUAACUAUGCACGUCUUGACGGUACCUAAUCAGAAAGCCACGGCUAACUACGUGCCAGCAGCCGCGGUAAUACGUAGGUGGCAAGCGUUAUCCGGAAGUAUUGGGCGUAAAGCGCGCGUAGGCGGUUUUUUAAGUCUGAUGUGAAAGCCCACGGCUCAACCGUGGAGGGUCAUUGGAAACUGGAAAACUUGAGUGCAGAAGAGGAAAGUGGAAUUCCAUGUGUAGCGGUGAAAUGCGCAGAGAUAUGGAGGAACACCAGUGGCGAAGGCGACUUUCUGGUCUGUAACUGACGCUGAUGUGCGAAAGCGUGGGGAUCAAACAGG